CAAUAGCGUAUAUUUAAGUUGUUGCAGUUAAAAAGCUCGUAGUUGGAUUUCGGAUGGGAUUUGCCGGUCCGUCGUUACGAUGUGCACUGGCCAGUCCUAUCUUGUUGUCGGGGACUAGCUCCUUGGAUUCACUUCCUGGGACUAGGAGCUGACGAGGUUACUUUGAGUAAAUUAGAGUGUUCAAAGCAAGCCUACGCUCUGAAUACAUUAGCAUGGAAUAACACGAUAGGACUCUGGCUUAUCUUGUUGGUCUGUGAGACCAGAGUAAUGAUUAAGAGGGACAGUCGGGGACAGUCGUAUUUCAUUGUCAGAGGUGAAAUUCUUGGAUUUAUGAAAGACGAACUUCUGCGAAAGCAUUUGUCAAGGAUGUUUUCAUUAA
rnacentral:rRNA from 1 species